CAGUAGCCACGGUAAUACGAGGGGGGCAAGCGUUGUUCGGAAUUAUUGGGCGUAAAGGGUGCGUAGGCGGUUUGGCAAGUUUGGUGUGAAAUCUUCGGGCUCAACUCGAAGUCUGCAUCGAAAACUGCCGGGCUUGAGUAUGGGAGAGGUGAGUGGAAUUUCCGGUGUAGCGGUGAAAUGCGUAGAUAUCGGAAGGAACACCUGUGGCGAAAGCGGCUCACUGGACCAUAACUGACGCUGAUGCACGAAAGCUAGGGGAGCAAACAGGAUUAGAUACCCGAGUAGUCCCUGUCUCUUAUAC
rnacentral:rRNA from 1 species